GUCCGUGUCGUCCAGUCCGGCCAAGGAUAUUCGGCCUUCAACCGAAAGACGCGUGUUCAAAUCACGCCACGGACGCCA
rnacentral:tRNA from 1 species